GAUGAACGCUAGCGAUAGGCUUAACACAUGCAAGUCGAGGGGCAGCAUGGUCUUAGCUUGCUAAGACUGAUGGCGACCGGCGCACGGGUGCGUAACGCGUAUGCAACUUGCCUCACAGAGGGGGAUAACCCGUCGAAAGACGGACUAAUACCGCGUACACUUGGGAUAGGGCAUCCUGACCCAAGGAAAUGAAAUUCGCUGUGAGAUAGGCAUGCGUCCCAUUAGCUAGUUGGUGAGGUAACGGCUCACCAAGGCGACGAUGGGUAGGGGAACUGAGAGGUUGAACCCCCACACUGGUACUGAGACACGGACCAGACUCCUACGGGAGGCAGCAGUGAGGAAUUUUGGUCAAUGGGCGAGAGCCUGAACCAGCCAAGUCGCGUGAAGGAUGACUGUCUUAUGGAUUGUAAACUUCUUUUAUACGGGAAUAACAAGAGCCACGUGUGGCUCCCUGCAUGUACCGUAUGAAUAAGCAUCGGCUAACUCCGUG
rnacentral:rRNA from 1 species